GAGGACUGGCAAUGGAUGUUAGCUCCGGGCAAAUCUUCUUUAGCAAAAAAAAAAAAAAAAAAAAGUAUAACCUGAAAUCUAAUCAUGAAGAUACACUAGGCACACCCAAUUUGAGGGGGAAUUUUAUAAAAUAAUUGAUGUGUGUUCUUCAAAAAUGUCAGUGUCAGGAAAGACAAAGGUUGAGGAAUGUUCUACAUUGAAGCAAAGUGUGCUUCUAGAAAUGCAAUAUGUGACUCUAGACUGGAUCCUGUGUGGAAAAAGAAAAUUGCAGUAAAGAACAUUAUUGAGUCAGUUGGCAAAAUUGGAAUGUAAAUGGUGGAUUAGAUAAAGAGUCUUUUAUUCAGAUUUAGAAUUCUGUAUUGUUUUCACUUUUAGAAUGUUGUAGUCAAUACAGUGUUUUAUUAGAUGAAAGUGUUACAUUCAGGUUAGAAUACUGUAUUUAAUUCAGUAUUAGAUAUUGUACCUGAUUGAUACCAUAUUGUAUUAGAUAAAAGUAUAGUAUUCCAAUUUAGAAUACCGUAUUCUAUUCAGGUUUAGAAUAUGGUACUCAGAUUUAAAUUAAAGUAUUGAUUCAGAUUUUCUGAAGUUGAUAACUACUCAGGUUAUGUAACAAGAUGUCCUUAUUCUUAGGAAAUACACACAGUAUUAAGAUAUAAAGAGGCAGAUACAGCGACUAUGGAAAACAGCAUGGAAGUUCCUCAAAAAGUUAAAAAUAGAACUACCAUCUGAUCCAGCAACCCCACUUCUGGGCAUCCAUCUGCAGGAGGUGAAAUCACUGUCUUGAGGAGACAUCUGCACCCCACGUUCACUGCAGCAUUAUUCACAACAGCCAAGACAGGGAGACGACCUAAGCGUCCACAGCAGAUGAAUGGAUGAAGAAAAGGUGACGUACACACGUGCGUGCACGUGUACACACACAUACACAGGAAUAUUAUUCACUCAUAAAAGGAGGAGAAAAUCCUGCCAUUUGCAACCACCUGGAUGGACCUUGAGCGCAUUAUGCUGAGUUAAAUAAGCCAGACAGAGAAAAACAAAUGCUGUAUGAUCUCACUUACCUGUGGAAUCUGAAAACAUCACACUCACAGAAACGGAGAGCAGAUGGUGGUUGCCAGGGGCUGAGGGGUGGGGGAGAUGGGGAGAUGUUGGUCAAAGGGGACAAACUUUUAGCUAUAAGAGGAGUAAGUUAUUGGGAUCCAAGGUACAGCACGGUGACUCCAGUUACCAAUACCGUGCUGUAACACUUGAAAGUUGCUAUGAGAACAGAGCUUUAAUAUUCUCACCACAACAACAACAACAAAAUGGUAAUUCCGUGAGGUGAAGGAUGUGUUAACUAACCUUAUUGUGGUAACAUUUCAAGACAUAUACGUUUAUCAAAUCACCACUUUGUACACCUUAAACGUACACAGUGGUUUAUGUCUCAAUAAGGCUGGGAAAAAAAGAUAAAGGAGCAGAUUAUGUAAGCAACUUCCUUGCAAAUGGUUCAGAAAAAUAUAGAAAUAUAUAAAAUAUAUUUAUAAAAUUAUAAAAUAUAUAGAAAUGUAUAAUGUGUAGAUAGACAUAAAGAAACGAGGUGCUCUGGCUUGAUGAACCUAGCUGAAAAAAUUGCAAACAAAAUAAAAUGAUUGUUUCAAGCCACAAAUUUGGGAUAACCAAAGCAUCUUCUAAACUCAAAUAUCUACAAGCUUUAUAGUUUUGCCUUUCACAUUUAUGUCUGAUCCACCCAGAAGUGUUUUCCUGUAAAGUGUGAAGUCAAGGUUCAAUGUCAAUUUCCCCCAUAUACACAGGUAAUUGUCCCAAUAACAUCAAAAAGUCAACCCUUUCCUUGGUGGCCAACCUCUGUACCCACACGUGUGUGGGAUUCCUGCUCUUUAUUCUGAUGCACUGAUCUGUCUGCCUCCUCCAAGCCAAAACUAUACAGAUGUAAUCAUCACAGCUUUAUCAAAGUAUCGAUAUGUGGUACAGCAGGCCCUCCACCUUGAUCUUCGAGGGUGUUUUAGCUUUCCUGACUCUGAGUCUUAUAAAUGUGAGAAUCAGCUUAGCAAGUUGGCUUAAUUUCUCUGCAGCCCAGUUUCUCAUCUGCUGGAAGAAUUGAAAAAGACAAUAAAUAUGGACACAAUUUGUAGAGUCCCGGGAACAACAGAGUUUUAGUUUAUUGUAUUUAUAUUGCUAAACCUAAGCAAACAAUGUUGAUCUCCAUAGCCUGUUUUUCUGUCAGUUCUGAAACAUCUCCUGAAUUCGCAAGUGUUUUCCAGGACUGACGGCCGGCUCCUGUUACUGACAGCUGGAUGUGCGACCCUGGUUCAUAUUAGGACUCCUCCCAAAUUGGCCUUGCUAAAACUGUAAUUUUUUUUAAUCUCCUUUUGAACUUUUACAGCCACAUUUCAGCUGGCCAACAGUUUUGAAAGCUGGAAAUAAUUCAGUCCUGCUGUCAGUCUGUGGUCAGAUUCCAGUUUGACCUGUUGCAUGAUUUGAGCAAGGAUUUAAUAGGACCACGUGGAAAACGCCUGGUCCUUUCCUCUUUAUCAAAUUGGCCCUUGUGAGAACCAGACCGGAGACGCAGGCAAAGCAUGGACUCUUCAUCAUAAAAAGUUUUCACACCGUACCUUCAAAAGAGUUUUUAUCCUCUGUGAACUUAACCCUAAGUUGAGAGAGAGGCAUCACUGCUUCAUUAAUACGAAUAAUAGCUGUUUUACUUUUACAUACUAAUUUUACAAAACUUAGAAAAUAUUUUUAAAAAGUAUUCAUUUAUCCAUGAUCCAAAGCUAAAUGCUACGAACAUUUUAAAGGAUUGUCAUCUGCUUUCUUGUCUUUACGCACAGGUUUCUUUUUUUCUCUUUUAAUGUAACACGCGCUAGUCUGCAUCCUGCCCGUGGCCGGCCUCUUGCUUGGCUCGUCAGCAAUCGCUCGCCUUCUUCCCUUAAAGGAGCCCAAUUAGAUUUAGAUUUAGGGCAACUCUUGGAGGAGGCGGGACCACAGCACGACGCCAGAAGUGAAUUUUGACUGGUCUAAGCCAAACAAAGAACGCUGGCCCCUUGCCUGGUGAUUGGUUUAGGCCUGAGCGUGACACGCAGUUCUGAUCAAUGAGGAGGGAGAGGCGGUCUGCGGGGGCGUCCUGCGCCCUUGCAAGGACGAGCUUGAGGCGGAAAGGCUGAAAAUGGCAGACGGGAAGGACGGAAGCUUCCCGGGUUCCCGGUGAUGAGCCUGAGCCGCUGACAGACCCCGUGUUCACAUUCAAGUCAUACGAGACAGUGAACGGUUCUCCUGCAUGGGCACAGCUUGUUGAGCUCCUGGGACGGAGCGCCCCCGGCUGACACACCUGCCCCGCUUAGGGGGGUGUCUGCUGUGUUCCUGGAGCUCUUCUUAAACGUUGUUUACAGAGAGCGUUCCAGCCAGUUGUUAUUCCAAGAUUCACUUGGUGGAUCCCAGAUUGUUUAAUAAUGAUGAUAGUAAGUAUUCUUAUUUGAGUCUUGAUAUUAAUAGGAAUGCCAGUAAGAGUAGUAAAAAAAAAGUCAGUAUUUAUUUUGCUCUUUCUCUGCCAUGCCAGAAACUGCGUUAAGUACAUUACUCGUGUCCUCUCAUUUAAUCUUCGGGAAAAUGAGAGUGUUUCAUUAUUAUCCCCAUUUUAUGACUGAGAAAACUGAGAGGUCAGAGAGGUUAUGUAACUCAUCCGAGGUCACACAGCUAGAAUGUGACAGAGCUCAGAAACUGUGCAUAUAUAUAUAUCCAUAAGUAUCUACAUAUACAUUAUAAAAUAUUAAGAUGCCGUUUUGAAAUAAGUUCUCUUAUGUUAAGAAAGCAUCUUUCUAUUCCUACUUUUUAAGGUUUUUUGUUUGAAGAAAUAGGCAUUUAUUGAAUACUUUUCAACAUCUAUUAAGAUAAACUCUUUGAGCUGUUAAUAAAAUGUAUAAAUAAUUUCCUUUCACAAAAUUAAAUUAUCUCUGCAUUCCUGGGGACCUUCUGUACUCCAAGAUCAUUUUCAGUAUACCAUUGAAUUCUAAACAUCAGUACUUUAUUUAGGACUUUCACAUUCCCAUUAAUGGAGCUAAGUAGAGAGUUUUGUGGGGAGGGGUUGCACUAUCUCUGUUGGGUUUUAGAACCGGGGUUAUGUUCACAUUAGAACCGUUUCCACCCGUGUCCUGUUCGGGACAACUUUACCAUACAAAUGAAGUCUUCCUUGAAAACCUUCUAGAAUUUAGUGGAGCGCCAUCUGGGUCUAGAGCCAGUUUAUGGUAUAAUUGUUUUAUGACUUUCUUGGUUAUUGAUCUUUCCUAUGUCAUGCUUAUUCUGGAGUCAAUGUUAGUAAUACGUAUUUUUCCAGAAAAUGUAUGCAUUUGUGGAAGGGUUUUAAAACGUAUUAAUCUACAUUUCAGGUGUGAAUAGUAUUUUCAGACUCAUUUAAAACGGUCUAUGUUACUCGCUCUGGUCCCUUUCUCUUUGCCUCUUCCUGUUUUCUCCUUUUUCUUUAUAAUAUUGCAUAGAAAUUUGUCCAAUAUUUGUAUGUUUUCUAUGCAGAACCAGUUAAAUUUCUUUAUUUCAUUUUUGUUCUGCUUUACAUAUUUGUUUAUUUCUACUUGUCUCUUUUUUCCUUUUAUUUAGGGGUUUUUCACUCAACAAUAUUUCAGGAACAUCAUUCCACAUAAAUAAAUAUGCUUUGUUGUUAUUUAGUGGCUGCAAACUAUUGUAUUUUAUGAGUGUGAUGUAUAUAAGUUGCACAGGUUACUGGCUCCCUCCUCAAAACUCAACCCUGAAUAAACUAAGGCAGAGAGAUGGAAGCGAGAACCUGAGAGCCAGCUGGUAGGCAAAGACGGUCCAGAACAAGUGUGGCUGCGUAGCUCUGAGCCUGGUCUGCUGCCUCUAGACAGGACAGAUAGAACAUGACUUGAGAGUUCUUCACCAGCACCUGCUCUUUCACCGUUCAGGCUCGGGCGGCAGCCAUGAUCCCUACUGGCCAGAAUGAAGAGAAGCAGCUAGGGCUCCUCGUUUUCCGAUUCUGCAGUAAGGAACAGGUGACACUUAGUUCUCACAAUAGUAUGGAACUAGCCUAGGAUGAUGAAAAAGAGGCCAAACGAAGGGAGCCUCUGUUUUCUCAUCUGGAGAAAGGGAGAACAGGCCCAGCCUUACGACGUGCUGAUUUCCAGAGGAAGCCUCGAAAGUGCGCUUCCCCGCUUUCCUUCUUUGCUCUGCCUUCUUCAUGAACGUCCACAUUUCCCCCUCGAUGAGAUGUAAGCUCUCUCCGGACUCCGAACUCUGGAGGGUGAAUUUGACGUGGCUGCUGCCCCAUAGACGUUUACAGAGCUACACAUGAUUAGAGCUGCAGGCUGAAGAAUGACAGCCUGAGACGUUCUGAGAUUGAAAAGGAGUGAGAGAGGGGAGCCCGUGUCAGGGGCUCAGUGGUGACAGGUGUGUAUGUGUGUAACAGAAAGAGUGCCUUGAGAAGCAAACACAGCACACGACAUUUAUUGUUAAAUGAGCAGCAGAGGAAAUACAGGGAAGGAAACAUGCAUGCAGUCCCGGCCACCACAGUGCUGUCAGACGGAAAUUUUAAAAGAGCAAGAAGCCUCAUCUGCCCUUCAAACACUGUUUCUGCACGCUCAGCAGCUGUUGCAGUGUGGCCCCGUGCUAUCCCAGAAGGGAGGGAAGUAUGGCUUGCUUUGUUUGAGUUCCAUUGUGCAGAGCCUAUCAAGUGACACUCAGCAGAACACAAAAUUGUUGCCAAACAAGGAAACUGCAAUAUCCAAAGCUAAGUUCAAGAUGCCAUUAGAGUUGCCCUUGGUGCCAGUCUCCGGGGCCUCCGGGAGAGUAAGAUGCUGAGUCCCGAGGAAGGGGUCAGGGAAGACAGCCUGGCCCCAUACCUGUGCCGCCGCCUCUUCCUCCUGCUUGGGGUGGGGGAUGCCUUCAGUUCACUCCUGUCUUCAGACGGACUGUCCUCAUCUGUUAGCACAAGGAGAAAGAGAGGACUUUAAAGGUGAGCACACUUUUCCUUUUAUUUUCUGGAUUUUUCAUUUGAGGAUUGAAGCUAUGGACCUGUCAGGAAAUGUGAGUAUUGACCCAUACAAGCUAGCAUUUGCAGCACUCACUAUAUUACAGGUAUGGUGCUCAGCACUGUCCAUGCAUUACUGCAGUUAUUCUUCAUAAAUUAAAAGAACUCCAAGGUAGCUGCUAUUAUUAUUAUAUUUUUGCAGAGGAGAAAACCGAGGCACAGAGAGAUUAAGUAACUUUCCCCAAAUCACGUGGGUAGUAAAUGAUGAAGUUGGGAUUCAAACCCCAGACUGUGUGAAGUCAAGGCUACUUGGCCGCUAAUUGCAUUUCCUAAUCCCACUGGGCUCCCAAAUUCAUCUGCUACCUUCUGCCUCCAACGUCCUCCUCUUAGCCAAUAUACCAGCAUUUCUCAAAGGGAGGGUUGAGGUUUGUGACAUCAGAACCUCUCUCAGAACUGCACUUCCUGCCCCUCUGUACCAAUUCCGAAUCUCUGGGCACAGAGUGCAGGGCCUCAUUCUCGACAAGUGCACCCAGAUGACUCAUAGACGCACUUGGAAAUGUUUAGGAGCCUUGCUCCACUAUGCUUUGUCCUUCGAUAUUCAUUAUAUCACAGGCCAGAAGGUUAGAAGACUAAACUCUUGUCAGAUUCACUGUUAAAAAGUAUAUGUGCUUCAAAAUACAAAAAAAAAAAAAUUAAUAAAGGCAAAAAUAAUAAGACACUAUUAGUUUUUCUCCUACAUCGGUUAGCUCACUAGAAAACUGUAUGCUUGGAUUAUAAUAUUGUAAUAUCCGUGCUGUCCAGGCUGGUGCCAUUAGACACAUAAGGUUAUUGAGCAGGUGAAAUGUGGCCCGUCCAAACUGAGCCCGACUGCAACUGGAGAAUAGUCAGUGCACUUAGAAGACUUAGGACGUCCCCAAAAGUAAAAUAUUCAUACUUUUUAUAUUGAUUACAUGUAAAAUGAUAAUGUUUUAUAUGUAUUGGAUUAAAUAAAAUAUAGUAUUUAAAUUAAUUUCACCUGUUUAUUUUUCCUUUUUAAUAUGGCUUUGAGAAAUUUUCAUUGCACUCACAACUGCGUGAUAUUUCUAUUGGAUAGUGUUGCUCUUGAUCUCCCAGAAAUGGCCUCACAGACUAGGAUGUAGUUGCAUUUUGCCUUUCAUUUAAUCAGUGCUCACAAAGGAAAGAACCCAUCCUAUGAAGGUGGGUCUGCAUUUUUAGUGAGACAACUAAUAGGGGGAUCCAUUUUAUCUUCCACGAAGACUCGUGAAAUAAAGUCCUCCAAAAGGAUGAAAGCCCGCUUGCCUGAUGCUCUGGCAUGCACCCUCGUAUUAUUAGUGGAGGCCUCGCGGACUCUUUUUGCCUUGGCUGUCUGGAUGCUAGGCUCUAGGUUCUACUACAUAGUUUCUCUCAGUUCACGUUUUCUUGCGUAAUUCUCCAUUUUCUUCCCCACACCCAAAACUCUUGAUUUCUUGGCCCUUGUCCUUUACGGAAUUUCAUUGCUUCCUUCUGUCUCCCCAUAAUCCACCUCGACUUCUUUGAGGAAAUAGGCGGGCUCACGACAAAACACUGAGCAUAAUUACAGUGAAAUUGGCGAGGUUGUUUCUCACGUGUGGGGAGGAGCGAGGGCGGCGCGAGGAGAAAAGCACGGUACCCGG